AUUGAACGCUGGCGGCAGGCCUAACACAUGCAAGUCGAACGAGUGGCGGACGGGUGAGUAAUGUCUGGGAAACUGCCCGAUGGAGGGGGAUAACUACUGGAAACGGUAGCUAAUACCGCAUACCAUCGGAUGUGCCCAGAUGGGAUUAGCUAGUGGGGGGGGUAACGGCUCACAUAGGCGACGAUCCCUAGCUGGUCUGAGAGGAUGACGGCCCACACUGGAACGGAGACACGGUCCGAACUCCUACGGGAGGCAGCGGUGGGGAAUCUUGGACAAUGGGCGCAGGCCUGAUGCAGCCAUGCCGCGUGUAUGAAGCAGGCCUUCGGGUUGUAAGGUACGUUCAGCGAGGAGGCGGUACUCGCAGAAGAAGCACCGGCUAACUCCGUGCCAGCAGCCGCGGUAAUUC
rnacentral:rRNA from 1 species